UAAUACAGAGGGUGCAAGCGUUGUUCGGAAUUACUGGGCGUAAAGGGCGCGUAGGCGGUUUAGCAAGUCAGAUGUGAAAGCCCGGGGCUCAACUCCGGAAUUGCAUUUGAAACUGCUAGGCUAGAGUGCAGUAGAGGAUGGCGGAAUACCCAGUGGAGAGGUGAAAUUCGUAGAUAUUGGGUGGAACACCGGUGGCGAAGGCGGCCAUCUGGGCUGUAACUGACGCUGAGGCGCGAGAGCGUGGGGAGCAAACAGGAUUAGAUACCCUGGUAGUCCACGCUGUAAACGAUGGAUACUCGCUGUGGCUGGUAUUGACCCCGGCCGUAGCCAAGUUAACACGUUAAGUAUCCCGCCUGGGGAGUACGGUCGCAAGAUUA
rnacentral:rRNA from 1 species